CUUUCUUUUCCCUUCCCCUUCCCCUCACUGAAAGGAUGAAGGAAACCCAUUUCUCAUCUUCCCUUUCUUCUCUUCUCCGUCUUCAAUCUCGUCUCUAUAACCAUUGCUGAUGAUGCCGCGGUCAUGCGAAACUACAAAUAGCCCAACAACAGAUGACUGCCUAUAUUACCGAGAAGAUUGUCCAACUUCAAGCUCUUAAAAAGCUUAGCCUGCACGACAACGUUAUCACAGGCAUGAUUCCAACCUCUCUUGGGUUCCUCCCAGAGGUGUUUAUCUCUUCAACAACCAACUUUCAGGUUCAAUUCCUCAGCAUCAACGCCUUGUUAGGUUUGAUUCAUGAUUCCUGUCUCUCUUCGCCAUCUCCAUCACCAGACUACGAAACCAAGCCACCGCAAACUGACCACCAAAGACAUAAUUCUCAUAGCCACCGGGGGCCUCCUCGCGGUUUCACUUUUUCGGUGUAGUAUUCUGCUCUGUUUUUUUAUCAAGAAAAGAACUACUUCAAGGGAGAAGUAGUCAUGAUGCCUCAACACAAAGCAAUUCCAGGAAGAGUCCAAGCCUAUUGCCCCUAUGGGUGGCCAUGAUGUCUCAGACUCUACUUCUCUACAACAGGGUGGAAAUCAAUUGGAAUCUGAAGUUCUUCAGUCGGACACUGGGACUAUAGGUAGCUCUGCCACAUCCUGCUCUAAUGUCACAAGCGAUGAGAGCUGCCUGCAGUUCUCGGUCUAUCCUGCCCAGAUUGAGAUUGGUAGUAGCAUGCAGGGUGGAAUGGGCAUUAUGAGGAAUGGUUUACAAGUCCGGGUUCCUGUCAUGCGAUGAGGGAUGAUGAUGAUCACAAGCACCAGAUUAGCUCAACUAGGGUGUUUUAUUCUUUGAAAUCCGUUUAAUUGCUAUAAUAAUCUGUUGAACCGCAAUGAUUACAUUCACGGAGUCGGUGAAAGAACCAAUGAAAGAAACCGAGAAAUCCGUUUAAUUGCUAUAAUAACUAUUUUUCUCCAAAUAGUUAUUAGAAGGGUAAUAUGAGAAUUAAAAAUAUUAUAACGGCGGAUUUCAAAUAAAAGGCUAACAAAGUACAGGGGUCUUUGUCAGAGACUCCAUAGUACGGUGUCUUUGUAAUUUACUCUUUCAUUUCGAACUUCCAUCUGGAAAAGGGGCAUAAUUUUCUUCGACGGAGACCAUGUUUCCCCUGUUUUUUUUUUUUUUUUUUUCAUAUUUAUUUUACUGCAGGUCGCGUUUUCAUCAUACUAAGGUUAGCCAUACUUAUAAUAAAUUCCUACCUAAAGGCACAUAAUAACAUCAUGUUUAUUCAUAUUUGUAUUUUCCUUCAGUGUUGACCUAAGUAUGGACUUCUUCCGAUCUCUAGGAUUGCCUCCCUCCCUUCCUCCCCAUCACAUAUUCUCUGAUAACUGAGACAAAGCUAUCCUCUUUCUGAAAGCCCCUUAAUUGUAGAACGAGUUUAUUUUUGUAUAAUUUGGAUCUCUUACAAAGAAAGAGAAAGGACAACACAACGACGAGGAAAUGGCCGGCAGACCGAGACCCUUCAAUAGAAUACGCAGUUACGAAUAAACUUUGUAGGGCUUGGGAUUUUUGGCCAUGUCAACCCCUCCCGCCCUAUCCAAGGUUACAGGCACAUGCAGCAAGUACGAGAAAGCAUGCAUUGGCAACGUGCGGAUGGGCUUGUUCUAUGAUUUGUUAGCUCUAAUGGCUGUGGGCUUAUCUGGUCAUUUGACCUCAUUACACGCAUUUUCAGAAGAACAAAAGGAAGAGCAAACAGGACAAGGUGAUAUUGGAAGAACGGGGCCUCAUGACUAAAAUUUUGGGCACCUUGAUGAUGCUGAUUGUUCCAAUAGUUGGUGCAAUAGCACUUCCCUGGUCGGUUCGCUUUGGGAUUCCAGCAAUAUGUACUUUGGUGGCUACUCUUUUGUUUUUGAGUGGAUGUGGUUCUUACAGAUUUGUCAAACCGCAAGGCAGUCCUCUCACUCAUGUAUUCCGGGUCUUUGUGGCCUCUACCUCAAAUAUGCACCAUCCUCCUAAUACUAAUAACGCUGAGCUUUAUGGGAUGCAUGACCAUGGUGAAGAUGUGAUACCUCACACAAAGGGCGGGGCCCGAUCUCAGCUACUUUUUCACAGGCUUCAUUAUAGCGUGUAUCCACCCAGAUGUGUGAGAUGAGAUGUGCGAUGUCUUGACAGCUGCAAUGAUAUUGCCUUCCCGACCUCUUGAGGAACAAGUGAAGAAAAGAUAGACGCUUUGCAGAGUCCCAGAAGUGGAAGAAGCUAAGACUAUCAUUCGCAUGGUACCCAUGUGGAUCACCUUAAUUAAUUUGUCAUAUUUGGUGUUGUACUGUCCAUUGGCAACACUUAUUUUGUUGAGCAGGCAAACCACAUGAAUCGCAAACGUAAAGGUUCCUCUUCCAAUCCUUUUAUGGUUCCAUGAAUGCUCAAAGCCACUAGCUACCAAGUUAUAUCAUAAAUUAUCAAGCCUUUUGGGUGAGAAGAGACAGAUGUAUGCCGCACCUGUUGGGGUUGCACUAGGAAUGUUGUUCUCUGUACUGUGUUGUAUUACUGCUGAAAAAGUUGAGGCCAGAAGAUUAAGUGUGAUCAGGAAACAUGUAUUACUAGAAAUGCCUGACAACACAAUCCCCAUGAGUGUAUUUUGGCUACUUCCACAAUUUUUGUUGCUAGGGGCCUUAGAUGGACUUGCUCGUAAUGACAUCAAGGAUUUCUUCGGAGAGCAAGCUCCCCAAGUAUAUUGACUUCUUCAUCGAAAGCUUACUUGGAGCAGGGACCAUAGGCAGUUUUCUUUCUGCUUACAUAACAAGCGAAGCUAGCAAGCAAGGAGGGCGACCAAGCUGGUUCCAGGAAAACUCUAAACUAGAAUCGUUUGGAUAAUUACUACUGGACAUUAGCAGUAUUGAGUUCUAUCAACUUUCUUGUCUUUAUAGUUAUUGCACUUUGUUACACCUACAAAGAUGCAGUAAAAAAAGAUAGUGACGUGGGUUGGUCAUCCUUAAACUGCGAUGAUAUAGCUCGCUAUUGUUGCUACCUUGCUGGUAUGUUUAUGUGGCAUGUUUAUCCCUCCCCCCUCUCUCUCUCUCUCUCUCAUGAAGUUAUCCUUUCUAAAUUAUUGCUUGUUACUGUAAUGUUUCGUGAUUAGUUUCCUGCAAAUGGAAGUGUCCAUGUUUGGUUUGUUAGU